rnacentral:rRNA from 1 species
GACGAACGCUGGCGGCGUGCCUAAUACAUGCAAGUCGAGCGAGUCUGCCUUGAAGAUCGGAGUGCUUGCACUCUGUGAAACAAGAUACAGGCUAGCGGCGGACGGGUGAGUAACACGUGGGUAACCUGCCCAAGCGAUCGGGAUAACACCUGGAAACAGAUGCUCAUACCGGAUAACAACAGAUGAUGCCUAUCAACUGUUUAAAAGAUGGUUCUGCUAUCACUCUUGGAUGGACCUGCGGUGCAUUAGCUAGUUGGUAGGGUAACGGCCUACCAAGGCGACGAUGCAUAGCCGAGUUGAGAGACUGAUCGGCCACAUUGGGACUGAGACACGGCCCAAACUCCUACGGGAGGCAGCAGUAGGGAAUCUUCCACAAUGGACGCAAGUCUGAUGGAGCAACGCCGCGUGAGUGAAGAAGGGUUUCGGCUCGUAAAGCUCUGUUGUUGGUGAAGAAGGAAAGGGGUAGUAACUGACCUUUGUUUGACGGUAAUCAAUGAGAAAGACACGGCUAACUAAGUG